rnacentral:rRNA from 1 species
GAGCGGCCGACGUCUGAUUAGCUAGUUGGUGAGGUAAAGGCUCACCAAGGCGACGAUCAGUAGCGGGUCCGAGAGGAUGAUCCGCCACACUGGGACUGAGACACGGCCCAGACUCCUACGGGAGGCAGCAGUGGGGAAUUUUGGACAAUGGGCGCAAGCCUGAUCCAGCCAUGCCGCGUGUCUGAAGAAGGCCUUCGGGUUGUAAAGGACUUUUGUCGGGGAGAAAAUCCUGAACCCUAAUACGGUUCGGGGAUGAUAGUACCCGAAGAAUAAGCACCGGCUAACUACGUGCCAGCAGCCGCGGUAAUACGUAGGGUGCAAGCGUUAAUCGGAAUUACUGGGCGUAAAGCGUGCGCAGGCGGUUGGUUAAGCUAGAUGUGAAAGCCCCGGGCUCAACCUGGGAACUGCGUUUAGAACUGGCCAACUAGAGUACGUCAGAGGGGGGUGGAAUUCCACGUGUAGCAGUGAAAUGCGUAGAGAUGUGGAGG